UUUUACAACUCUACAUGCAGGCAUUAUUACUUCUAUGUUAUGGAUGGAGAAACUGAGACUUAGAGAGUUGGUCAAUCAGGCAGUCUAGAUUUUGGAAUGGUUAUUUACAGAAUGAAGGCAGGAGGGAAGCGGUUUAAAUACAGCGCAC
rnacentral:lncRNA from 1 species